CAAAAUUGCUUAUUAACCAAAAAAGACAGGCAAUUUCUUUAAUAAACCUGAAAAAAUGGUGUCCACAAACAAUCUGACUCUUGUUUAGAUGUAUUAUUUAGAGGUAUCCAUGGUUCACAAAUGAUUAGGUGGUAGGUAAUAGUAUUAUUCUUAACCCUGUGUUAGACAAUAGUCAAACAGUGUUUAGAUUUUGGUCUUCAGGAUUUAUGUUGUUGUGCCUGUGCUAACUUUUGCAGAUGUGAAUUACUUGCUGGAUGUGUUGACACAGAAGAAACAAAAGCUGGAAGCUGACAGCCAAGCUGUGCAACAUGAAUUGUUGAAAGAUUUUCUCUCACAAGUAAAGAGGCAUAAACAAGAGCAACUUGAUCAGCUUACACGAGAAGUGAAACUCAUUGAUGAAGACAUGAAGAGAGUUGUGGUAA